ACGAACGCUGGCGGCGUGCUUAACACAUGCAAGUCGAGCGAUGAGAUCCCUUCGGGGAUGGAUUAGCGGCGAACGGGUGAGGAACACGUGAGGAAUCUGCCUUCUACUCUGGGAUAACUCCGGGAAACCGGGGCUAAUACCGGAUAUGAAACUUGGUGGCAUCACCGAGUUUGGAAAGUUUUUCGGUAGAAGAUGACCUCGCGGCCUAUCAGCUUGUUGGUGAGGUAAUGGCUCACCAAGGCGACGACGGGUAGCCGGCCUGAGAGGGUGACCGGCCACACUGGGACUGAGACACGGCCCAGACUCCUACGGGAGGCAGCAGUGGGGAAUAUUGCACAAUGGGCGGAAGCCUGAUGCAGCGACGCCGCGUGAGGGAUGAAGGCCUUCGGGUUGUAAACCUCUUUCAGCAGGGACGAAGCGUGAGUGACGGUACCUGCAGAAGAAGCACCGGCUAACUACGU
rnacentral:rRNA from 1 species